GGAUGCGAUCAUACCAGCACUAAAGCACCGGAUCCCAUCAGAACUCCGAAGUUAAGCGUGCUUGGGCGUGACCUCCUGGGAAGUCCUCGUGUUGCAUUCC
rnacentral:rRNA from 1 species